CGCAAAUUUACACCGUAACUUCGGGAGAAGGUGUGCCGCUGGCGGUCAGUGACUUCGCGUCACGAAGCUGUCGGUGGUCGCAGUGAAAUGGCGGUUGUGACUGUUUACUAAAAACACAGGACUCUGCGAAGUCGUAAGACGACGUAUAGGGUCUGAUGCCUGCCCGGUGCUGGAAGGUUAAGGGGAUAUGUCAGCGCAAGCGAAGCAUUGAACCGAAGCCCCAGUAAACGGCGGCCGUAACUAUAACGGUCCUAAGGUAGCGAAAUUCCUUGUCGGGUAAGUUCCGACCUGCACGGGGGCAUAACAACAUCCGCACUGUCUCGACCAGGGACUCAGCGAAAUUACAUUGGGGGUGAAGAUGCCCUCUACCCGCGGAAAGACGGAAAGACCCCAUGAACCUUUACUGCAACUUGGCAGUGAUUUUCGGGUUGUUCUGCGUAGGAUAGGUGGGAGGCUUUGAAGCCGGGCUUCCGGGUUCGGCAGAGCCAACGUUGAAAUACCACCCUGAAUAAUCUGGAAAUCUAACCUGCACCCAUGAUCUGGGUGAGGGACACUGCCUGGUGGGCAGUUUGACUGGGGCGGUCGCCUCCUAAAUUGUAACGGAGGCGUGCGACGGUUCCCUCAGGCUGAUUGGAAACCAGCCGUAGAGUGCAAACGCAUAAGGGAGCUUUACUGCGAGACUGACAAGUCGAACAGUUGCGAAAGCAGGUGUUAGUGAUCCGGUGGUACCACAUGGAAGGGCCAUCGCUCAUCGGAUAAAAGGUACUCUGGGAUAACAGGCUGAUCGCGCCUGAGAGUUCACAUCGGCGGCGCGGUUUGGCACCUCGAUGUCGGCUCAUCGCAUCCUGGGGCUGGAGCAGGUCCCAAGGGUUUAGCUGUUCGCCAAUUAAAGCGGUACGCGAGCUGGGUUUAAAACGUCGUGAGACAGUUUGGUCCCUAUCUUCCGUGGGCGCAGGACACUUGAGAGGAGCUAUCCAUAGUACGAGAGGACCUGGAUGGACGAACCUCUGGUGCUCCGGUUGUCACGCCAGUGGCAUAGCCGGGUAGCCAUGUUCGGAACAGAUAACCGCUGAAGGCAUAUAAGCGGGAAGCUGGCCUCAAGACUAGGUGUCCCUGACGCAAGUCACUAAAGGCCCCUCGAAGACUACGAGGUUGAUAGGCUCGGUGUGGAAGCGCUGCGAGGCGUGGAGCUAACGAGUACUAAUAGGCCGUGCGACUUGACCUA
rnacentral:rRNA from 1 species